rnacentral:rRNA from 1 species
UACGUAGGGGCCUAGCGUUGUCCGGAUUUAUUGGGCGUAAAGAGCUCGUAGGCGGCUUGGUAAGUCGGGUGUGAAACCUCCAGGCUCAACCUGGAGACGCCACUCGAUACUGCCAUGGCUAGAGUCCGGUAGGGGCCCACGGAAUUCCUGGUGUAGCGGUGAAAUGCGUAGAUAUCGAGAGGAACACCUGCGGCGAAGGCGGGUUGCUGGGCUGACACUGACGCUGAGGCGCGAAAGCUAGGGGAGCGAACGGG